UACGGAGGGAGCUAGCGUUAUUCGGAAUUACUGGGCGUAAAGCGCACGUAGGCGGCUUUGUAAGUAAGAGGUGAAAGCCCAGAGCUCAACUCUGGAAUUGCCUUUUAGACUGCAUCGCUUGAAUCAUGGAGAGGUCAGUGGAAUUCCGAGUGUAGAGGUGAAAUUCGUAGAUAUUCGGAAGAACACCGUGUGCGAAGGCGACUCACUGGACAUGUAUUGACGCUGAGGUGGCGAAAGCGUGGGGAGCAAACAGG
rnacentral:rRNA from 1 species